UACUUAAUACAAGGAAUCUAUAUAUUAUAGGAAAAAUUACAGACGAUUAGUGAGACGUCAUGUUAUUGGAUAACAAUCCUUAUCAAAUAUGAUUAAAUCCUAACAGUUAAAGAGUGUACAUAUAUGUUACGUUUUGUAAAGUAACUUUAAAAAUCUUAUAUUCCACAUUUUAAGUAACUAGAUAUUUAUUCUAUUGAUACAAAUCGAAUUUUUGUAACUCUUAUUUAAUAAUAGUGAAC